GGUCCCUUAGCUCAGUUGGUUAGAGCGUGGUGCUAAUAACGCCAAGGUCGGCGGUUCGAAACCGCCAGGGAUCA
rnacentral:tRNA from 1 species